rnacentral:lncRNA from 1 species
UGGGCAAUAGUUAUUCUUUCUCCUUGUAAGCUGCUAACCGCUGGGAAAGCAAAUACAGCGGUGUUAUGUGGAUCCUGAGCUGGCUGCUGCAACUCAUUAACCAUGCUUGUGUACAGUGUCAGAGCAUCGGGGCUAUGCCACUGGAUUUGAGGUAGACCUUGCUCUUGGAGCGUCUAACAUGGUUCCUAGUGGUCAUCAAGGUUUAGAUCUGCCACAGAGUCUAAAGUGGGGCAGCUACGGUUUCAUAGUUGUCAAACCUUAAGUAAGUUUUUCCUUCUCUGGUGGUAUAGAAUUCAGCAGUUGUUGGGUUUUCUUCAGCUUUACUAGAGUUUUCUACCCUUGUUAUAUCCCAUGGUAGGCCUUGUCACAUCAUCAGAUUUUAAUUCAAGGAACAAAUUGAAAAAAAGUUAUCAGACUAAUAUGGACCAAUAAAGAAAAAUCAACCACCGGUUGUUUUUCUCGAUUUCUGGUUUUUGUCGAGCAGUUCACUCAAAGAUCAAUUUUGGACCGAUAAGCCAGUCGAUUUUCAAUCCGACCGAUUUGGUCUACCAAAUAUAUAACAGCCUGUUUUUAGGGUUAAUUAGAAUACUAAUUUUGUGACCACAAAUCCGAAGUCAAAAUAUUUAUUUUAUUAUGGUUUACAGCAUGAUAGAAUUGUUGUGUGAAAUUUUCGUAAAAAAAUUUUACCGUUUAAAGACUUAAUUCGGUAAAAAGAACUAAAUCGACGCGUAAAAGUUAAAUUCUAUAAGCUAAAAGCAUUAGAUAGUUAUGAAAUUUCAAAGUUGAGGCUUUUAUGUGGUAAUUAAUCCAUUGGAAUUAUGAAUGGACAAAUAUGUGCUUUAUUAAUGAAAAUUUCAAGGUUAAUAAGGUUAUAAUGGUAAUUAUGAAAUAAAUUAAGUUAAAUAAUAAAAACAUGGUGUCAUAUUCACCAUUUAAUUUCCACCACUGAAAAUGCAUGAAGAAAAACAGCCAUGGAUGAAGCUAUAUUCAGCAUAGCUUGUGAGCUAAAUUGCAAGUUCGUUUUUGUUCCUAUUUUAAUAAUUUUUACGUUUUUAAGAUCGUUGCUUCGUAAUCUAGCUAGUCCGUGCCUCUGAAUUUGAAACUGUUAAAGAUUUAACAUGUUGCCAUUGUUGAAUGCUUGAGUAAAUUGAUGAUUUAUGAUAGAUUAUGAAUAUUUUAUGUUAGAUUUUCAUCUUUUAUAAAGUGGUUUUUGAGAAAAAUGUUAAUUUUGGACUAAAUUGUGAAAUGUGAAAAUUUAGUGUUUAAAAUGUGAAAUAAAUUGAAAUUAUGGUAAUAUAUGGAAAAUUCGGCUAGCUUGAGUUUGUGUUUAAUUUCAUGAUAUUGUGAUUUUAUGUUAUAAUGACUAAAUUGCAAAAAUGUAAAAUUAUGGGGGCAAAAGUGUAAAUAUACUUUAAACUAAAUUUUGAUUAAAGUGAAUAGAAGAUAAUUAAAUAAUUUAAUUUUGAUAUUAUAUAGAUGAGAAAAGUGGAAUUUGGAUCUAGAUCGAGGGAAAAUCAAAGUAUCGG